AUAUCCGAAGUUGUACUGGGCUGCUGUUCCUGGAAGGUUUUAUAGGAUCCCAAGGCCCUUUAAGUGGAUGCACUUACCUUUGUGUAUGUUUCAAUUGCUUUAUCACUCCCCAUUCCAGACCAUUUUCUCUCCCUCUCCCUGUGUGUGUUACCCAAACUGUAUAAUGAAAAUAAGAACUGUACCCCCCCAGUCCCCUGAUCCCCAGAAUAAUGACACGGACAAUGGAUUAAGGGUCAAUCUGUGAAUUCGCAGCUUUAUUAACAAGAUAAAUAAGAUAGAACGUGGGGCUUUUAAUGGAGUUCCCUCCCAUCUGCAGCUCCCAAAUAAGAGACACUGCCCAAAGGUGGAGAUCAAGAUGGUAGAGGGCCUCCUAUGUCCCUUCCCUGAGAGCCGCAGCUGGGUAGUGAGCCCUUUGAUCCUGAGGAAGGCAAAAAAAAACCUCUGAAAAGCUUUGGCCAAUCUGCUUCUCUAGAGGGAAAAAUUCCUUCCUGACCCCUUAACGACGAUCGGAUUUGCUCCCAGGAUCAAUGCCACUGAUCUUGCUGGACAAGAAUAUGGCUGCAUGCACAUGAGCUUUCCAGCCGCUUGGUGUCCUCUGCAUUCCUCUCCGUUCCAUUUGCCUCCCCGUUGGCCUGCAGACCCCCGCACCUGCAGCCUGACAGAUGGAUGGGAGAGGAAUACAGACGCCUCCGUGUGGCUGUAAGACCCAUAUCUUUUUGAUGACAGCUCUUAACUCUUCAUUGGCAGUAUCUAGGUUACCUAGGAGGAACACCAGAGAUAUUAUUCCAGACCUGCAGUACCAAAGUUGAGGUUCGAACAAGAGCAAACAGUGUAGCAUUGAAGGUGACGGUCCCAUCUGCAUUUAAUGGCAUAUUCAUGGCCACCAGCCUCUGGGUAGAGAGUGGAUAUAAAGUUUUCCAAAACCCAGCGGAGGUUGGAUCCUGCGAAGCAAGGUGACUACAUCCAGGUGUUUGAUGCGACCCCUAGGAAGGGAAAAAUAAUGACAUUUUCACAAGACUCAUAACACAGUCAUGUAUUGGGUGCAGAAGGGAAGGUACUAGAUUGAAGGUGGUAAUGUAUGGCUACAGUUGGCCAUAGUUUUAUAUUUGGGUAAGUCAUCCCUUUGUGAUCAAUUUGUGAUCAAUUGCCCAUCCAUCAUUUCUCAUGGCAGCCAGUUUUGACACGUCAUCUUGUGACCCCACAGCACAGAUAGAUGAAAAGUGCCCCCCCCUUCCUUUCUGUAGUCCAAACAAUAAAUCACUGUACUGGACAUGUGAUCAACAGGUAUUCUUUUUUUUCUAGGGAUGCACCGAAUCCAGGAUUCGGUUCGG